rnacentral:sRNA from 2 species
AUGUACCCCCCUGUACACUGCGGUUCCUGCACACUGUCCGCGCCCACCCGACAGUGACGCGCGACGUUUUGUUAGCC